AUCUCUCCUUUUCUUCUUUUCUUUUUGUGGAUGGAGUUACAAAGUUUGUUGAUCAGGGGACUGCUGUGGAAGUAGUGCAUCUCGAUUUCAGUAAGGCUUUUGACAAAGUCCUCUGUGAUGUUUAUGAGAGGAAGGUGGUAAAAUGUGGACUGAAUGAGGUAACUGUUAGGUGGAUUUGACUGACCAAACCCAAAGAGGACUCCUUCAUGGUUCCUCCUCAUCCUGGGGAAAAGUGACAAGAGGGGUGCUGCAGGGUUCUGUUCUGGGCCCGUUGUUGUUCAAGGUCUUGAUAAGUGACUUGGAUGAAGGAACUGAGGGGAUGCUCAUCACAUUUGCAGACAACACCAAACGGAUCAUAAUGGCAUCCUCUCU